rnacentral:rRNA from 1 species
UACGGAAGGCAGCAGUGGGGAAUAUUGCACAAUGGGCGCAAGCCUGAUGCAGCCAUGCCGCGUGUAUGAAGAAGGCCUUCGGGUUGUAAAGUACUUUCAGUCGUGAGGAAGGUGUUAAGGUUAAUAACCUUAGCAAUUGACGUUAGCGACAGAAGAAGCACCGGCUAACUCCGUGCCAGCAGCCGCGGUAAUACGGAGGGUGCGAGCGUUAAUCGGAAUUACUGGGCGUAAAGGGCACGCAGGCGGUUAAUUAAAGUUGGAUGUGAAAUCCCCGGGCUUAACCUGGGAAUGGCAUUCAAGACUGGUUAGCUAGAGUCUUGUAGAGGGGGUUAAGAAUUCCAUGUGUAGCGGUGAAAUGCGUAGAGAUGUGGAGGAAAUACCGGUGGCGAAGGCGGCCCCGUGGACAAAGACUGACGCUCAUGUGCGAAAGCGUGGGGAGCAAACAGGAUUAGAUACC